CAUGGCCGCAUUGAGGAUCUUCUCGCUGUAUCCUCGCGCUCUGAAAAAACCUACCAUUUCCUUCAGUGCCUUCUCCAGGUGUUCAGGGGUGCUUACAAUCCUUUUAACCCUGAUUCCUUGUGAGAAAGGGAGGCUUUUCUUUAGAUUUGGGUGGUGGCUCGACUGGAAGUGUAAAUAUUGAUCCGGGUGGAACUGGUUGAGGUCUCUGUAGUAUUCUUGAAGUUCUUCCUCUGUGCCCUGGAACACUCCAAAUAUAUCAUCAAUAUAUCUAUAAAAUAAGA